rnacentral:rRNA from 1 species
GACGAACGCUGGCGGCGUGCUUAACACAUGCAAGUCGAACGCUGAAGCCUGGCUUUUGUUGGGUGGAUGAGUGGCGAACGGGUGAGUAACACGUGAGUAACCUGCCCUCUUCUUUGGGAUAACGCCCGGAAACGGGUGCUAAUACUGGAUAUUCACUUGCCUUCGCAUGGGGGUGGGUGGAAAGGGUUUUUUCUGGUGGGGGAUGGGCUCGCGGCCUAUCAGCUUGUUGGUGGGGUGAUGGCUUACCAAGGCUCCCACGUGUUUUUUCCUGAAAGUCUUACCGUUUCCCCUUGUACUUAUAUUCU